rnacentral:rRNA from 1 species
AUGGGGACAACACUGCGAAAGUGGUGCUAAUACCGAAUGUUGUAUUAAGGGUGCAUACUCUAAAUACUAAAGGUGGCCUCUUUAUAUGCUACCACUAGAAGAUGGGUCUGCGUCUGAUUAGCUAGUUGGUGAGGUAAUGGCUCACCAAGGCGACGAUCAGUAGCCGGUCUGAGAGGAUGAACGGCCACACUGGGACUGAGACACGGCCCAG